rnacentral:rRNA from 1 species
AGAGUUUGAUCCUGGCUCAGGAUGAACGCUGGCGGCGUGCUUAACACAUGCAAGUCGAACGAUGAUCUCCAGCUUGCUGGGGGGAUUAGUGGCGAACGGGUGAGUAACACGUGAGUAACCUGCCCUUAACUCUGGGAUAAGCCUGGGAAACUGGGUCUAAUACCGGAUAUGACUCCUCAUCGCAUGGUGGGGGGUGGAAAGCUUUUUGUGGUUUUGGAUGGACUCGCGGCCUAUCAGCUUGUUGGUGAGGUAAUGGCUCACCAAGGCGACGACGGGUAGCCGGCCUGAGAGGGUGACCGGCCACACUGGGACUGAGACACGGCCCAGACUCCUACGGGAGGCAGCAGUGGGGAAUAUUGCACAAUGGGCGCAAGCCUGAUGCAGCGACGCCGCGUGAGGGAUGACGGCCUUCGGGUUGUAAACCUCUUUCAGUAGGGAAGAAGCGAAAGUGACGGUACCUGCAGAAGAAGCGCCGGCUAACUACGUGCCAGCAGCCGCGGUAAUACGUAGGGCGCAAGCGUUAUCCGGAAUUAUUGGGCGUAAAGAGCUCGUAGGCGGUUUGUCGCGUCUGCCGUGAAAGUCCGGGGCUCAACUCCGGAUCUGCGGUGGGUACGGGCAGACUAGAGUGAUGUAGGGGAGACUGGAAUUCCUGGUGUAGCGGUGAAAUGCGCAGAUAUCAGGAGGAACACCGAUGGCGAAGGCAGGUCUCUGGGCAUUAACUGACGCUGAGGAGCGAAAGCAUGGGGAGCGAACAGGAUUAGAUACCCUGGUAGUCCAUGCCGUAAACGUUGGGCACUAGGUGUGGGGGACAUUCCACGUUUUCCGCGCCGUAGCUAACGCAUUAAGUGCCCCGCCUGGGGAGUACGGCCGCAAGGCUAAAACUCAAAGGAAUUGACGG